rnacentral:rRNA from 1 species
CCUACGGGAGGCAGCAGUGAGGAAUAUUGGUCAAUGGGCGCAAGCCUGAACCAGCCAAGUCGCGUGAGGGAUGACGGUCCUAUGGAUUGUAAACCUCUUUUGUCGGGGAGCAAGGCCCGCCACGUGUGGCGGGAAGGAGAGUACCCGAAGAAAAAGCAUCGGCUAACUCCGUGCCAGCAGCCGCGGUAAUACGGAGGGUGCAAGCGUUGUCCGGAAUCAUUGGGUGUAAAGAGUUCGUAGGUGGCAUAUUAAGUCUGGUGUUAAAUGCAGAAGCUCAACUUCUGUUCGGCACUGGAUACUGGUAAGCUUGAGUGCGGUAGAGGUAAGGGGAAUUCCUGGUGUAGCGGUGAAAUGCGUAGAUAUCAGGAGGAACAUCGGUGGCGUAGGCGCUUUACUGGGCCGUAAUUGACACUGAGGAACGAAAGCCGGGGUAGCAAAUAGGAUUAGAUACCCUUGUAGUC